ACUCUACGGCAAACCUAGGCAAAAAAACGGUGGCAGUGAAUUACUUUGGGCUUGAGGGUGACUUUAUAAGCCAUAGGCUCCAACCUCAUUCCCGGUGGAGGAACCCUGCUUGCACAAGGACCUGGAGAGCUGUGACCCAGCACCUGCUCCAUCACCACAGAAAAUUUUACACCAUUUGCGGCAACCUGGAUGGACCUAGAGAUUAUCAUACCAAGUGAACAUGUUAGCAGACGACCACACAGAAAGAGAACCAUGGUAGCAAGAAGAUCGGCAUCCAGAUCACAUACCUACAUUAGAAAGCCCUCCU